rnacentral:rRNA from 1 species
AUACGAAGGGUGCAAGCGUUACUCGGAAUUACUGGGCGUAAAGCGUGCGUAGGUGGUUCGUUAAGUCCGUAUGUGAAAGCCCUGGGCUCAACCUGGGAAUGGCAUUGGAUACUGGCGGGCUAGAGUGCGGUAGAGGAUAGUGGAAUUCCUGGUGUAGCAGUGAAAUGCGUAGAGAUCAGGAGGAACAUCCGUGGCGAAGGCGACUGUCUGGACCAGCACUGACACUGAGGCACGAAAGCGUGGGGAGC